rnacentral:rRNA from 1 species
UACGUAGGGGUGCGAGCGUUGUCCGGAAUUACUGGGCGUAAAGCGUGCGUAGGCGGUUUGUUAAGUCUGUCGUGAAAGCCCUGGGCUCAACCUGGGAAUUGCGAUGGAUACUGGCAAGCUAGAGUACGGUAGAGGAUGGUGGAAUUCCCGGUGUAGCGGUGAAAUGCGUAGAGAUCGGGAGGAACACCCGUGGCGAAGGCGGCCAUCUGGACCAGUACGUGACGCUGAGGCACGAAGCGUGGGGAGCAAACAGG